UUGCUUCAGAGGGUGCAAGCCCCAAGACUUGGUGGCUUACAUGUGUUGUUGGAACUGCAAGUGCACAGAAGUCAAGAAUUGAUGCACUGGUGCCACCCUACUG